GCCUGGGUAGCUCAGUUGGUUAGAGUGUGGUGCUGAUCGUGCCAAGGUUGUAGGUUUGAUCCUCAUAUGGGACA
rnacentral:tRNA from 1 species